GUUGCAGAAAACAACUCUUUGCCGUCUCGUCUUGCUGUCUGACUCACACCUGAAGCGCGUGCACAAGCCACAUCUCGCGCAGCGUCUCUUCAGUUCUGCCGUUUUUAUACAGUCUAUG